GUAAGCAGAGAAGAAUGAAUGUUCAUAUGCAGUUCUCUUUUAUUCAGGCUAAUAUCCCAGCCCAUAAUAUGGUACCAUCCACAUUCAGUUUUUGAUGCGUUGAUCAAGUUACUUUAGCACUCUUCACAUGCAUCUUCAUUUGUAAGGUGCUAUCAGACUGAAGGCAUGUCUACCUUGGUGACAACAGAGCCAUGUUCCAGGUCUUGAGGGAGCAUGUCGUUUCCAAGUCAGAGAACAAGAAGAUGGUUCCACAGAAGGGAAGGAUGAGUGGGAAAGAGAAAAGCUGAAGUGAACUGCAUGCUCUUCAUAGUUCAGUGAUGCUUCGGCCAUGUUUUUAUCAGUCUGGUCUGUUCAAACCCUUACAGAAGAUGACAUCACAGAGAAACUUUAAGAUCAAAAUAAGCUUACUAUGCUUUAAAUCAGAUUUGGGAGGUGUAUUUUUAAAACUUGAUCAUGUAUAUCUUUUCGUUAUCAUCUAUUUCUGUCUAUUCCUUCAGUAUGAGCACUUUGUUUCCUGAGUAAUUUGUUUUUCAUUUCUGUGUUUGUAUAUCAAUUGAGAUAAUAUGGGCAUGACUUCUCAUACUGACAAAGAUAUUACCGGUUCCUGGUCAUUUUCUGUUUGUUUUUCAUGUUUCAUCCAUUUCCCACAGAAAGAUAGUAACAUCUAAAUCAUUCAUUAAUUUAAGCUGCAAACUACAUUGUUGCUUUUUGAUGAAAAUUAUCUCUGGACUCUGGCUUCAUCAUUAAGAGGAAUAAAGUAGGUAGGGGAGUUUCUUGCUAAUAGCUAGUAAAGCUAAAAUUUAUUUGUGCAAAAUGAUUUGGGGCCAGAGUAGAUCUUAAGAGUAAGAUAGCUAUUGCCUGUCCUGGGUCUUAAACAAGAACAUUGGUAGUUAACUUACCAGGAACGGAACAAAUGGCUGGUCAGCAUUACCCUGAUUUUGGACAUUUAAAGCUUGGUACAUCUUGUUUGUUGAACAGAGGGACCACUUAACUCUAAUAGCUGUUUUCAGGGUCAAAUUUAUUUUAAACUUUCAGCCAUAAAAAAAUACUGGAAACAAAUGCUCUCAAAGCAAGGGUAUUCUAAUGUGAACAGGAUAAGAAAUGAGGUGUUCAUUAGACUCGGGCCGCUAGGCAACCAGAAUGUUGAGCCCAGUAUGAAGAGUUCCUGACAGAUGGUAUUAGAGAGACUUGCCACUAUCUGACUAAACCUCCAUGAGUUCUUCAGGAAGUGAAGCUCUUGACAUAUUUUAAUAUCAAAUAUUUG